rnacentral:rRNA from 1 species
GAUUAACGCUGGCGGCGUGCAUGAAACAUGCAAGUCGAGCGCGGUACACAGCUUGCUGUGUAUCUAGCGGCGCACGGGUGAGUAACACGUGAGCAACCUACCUUUGAGUUCGGGAUAGCCCUGAGAAAUCAGGAUUAAUACCGGAUGUGGUUGCAGGGAGACAUCUCCUUGUAAGUAAAGGCGCAAGCCGCUCAAUGAUGGGCUCGCGGCUUAUUAGCUUGUUGGUGGGGUAAUGGCCUACCAAGGCGAUGAUGAGUAGCUGGUCUGAGAGGACGGUCAGCCACACUGGGACUGAGACACGGCCCAGACUCCUACGGGAGGCAGCAGUGGGGAAUUUUGGACAAUGGGGGAACCCUGAUCCAGCCAUGCCGCGUGCGGGAAGAAGGCCU